UACGUAGGGCGCAAGCGUUGUCCGGAAUUAUUGGGCGUAAAGAGCUCGUAGGCGGUCUGUCGCGUCCGUUGUGAAAACUCGAGGCUCAACCUCGGGCUUGCAGUGGAUACGGGCAGACUAGAGUGCGGCAGGGGAGACUGGAAUUCCUGGUGUAGCGGUGAAAUGCGCAGAUAUCAGGAGGAACACCGGUGGCGAAGGCGGGUCUCUGGGCCGAUACUGACGCUGAGGAGCGAAAGCGUGGGGAGCGAACAGG
rnacentral:rRNA from 1 species